AACAAUACAUUCGAAUUAUGUUUUUCCACAUUACGUUGAUAACAAGAAAGGCACUUUUUUAUUGUUAAAUUGAAGAUAAAUGUUAAAGCGAUAAAUAACAGGAAGUAUAAUUCAACCCUUUUCAAAAUUUUCAAGCAAGCUGCGCAGGCAAUAUUAUUCCUUGCUGCAAAUUUUAUGCCUAUGCUGAGUUUUCUGUAUUACCGCUCUGUAACCCUGCUUUUAAAAAAUUUUCACCCUCGACAAUACCUGGCUAAAAAGGCUAAAUGGCUCGCCUUCUUGGAAUGCGCCGCCUUGAGCCUGUUGUCGAUUUUCGACAGUCAGAAUCGAGCUCCAACCUAACGUCAAUCAAUCCUGAACAACCUGAAUGUUUUCAGAAUCCAUCCUUUCAAGACGACUAU